ACGAACGCUGGCGGCGUGCUUAACACCUGCAAGUCGAACGGUAAGGCUCCAGCUUGCUGGGGUACACGAGUGGCGAACGGGUGAGUAACACGUGGGUGACCUGCCCUGCACUUCGGGAUAAGCCUGGGAAACUGGGUCUAAUACCGGAUAGGACCAUGGUGUGGAUACUGUGGUGGAAAGUUUUUUCGGUGUGGGAUGGGCCCGCGGCCUAUCAGCUUGUUGGUGGGGUAAUGGCCUACCAAGGCGGCGACGGGUAGCCGGCCUGAGAGGGUGGACGGCCACAUUGGGACUGAGACACGGCCCAGACUCCUACGGGAGGCAGCAGUGGGGAAUAUUGCACAAUGGGCGGAAGCCUGAUGCAGCGACGCCGCGUGGGGGAUGACGGCCUUCGGGUUGUAAACUCCUUUCACCAUCGACGAAGGGUUUCUGACGGUAGAUGGAGAAGAAGCACCGGCUAACUACGUG
rnacentral:rRNA from 1 species